CCUACGGGGGGCAGCAGUGGGGAAUAUUGGACAAUGGGGGGAACCCUGAUCCAGCCAUGCCGCGUGUGUGAAGAAGGCCCUCGGGUUGUAAAGCACUUUCAGUGAGGAAGAACGCCUGGUGGUUAAUACCCAUCAGGAAAGACAUCACUCACAGAAGAAGCACCGGCUAACUCCGUGCCAGCAGCCGCGGUAAUACGGAGGGUGCGAGCGUUAAUCGGAAUUACUGGGCGUAAAGCGCGCGUAGGUGGCUUGAUAAGCCGGUUGUGAAAGCCCCGGGCUCAACCUGGGAACGGCAUCCGGAACUGUCAAGCUAGAGUGCAGGAGAGGAAGGUAGAAUUCCCGGUGUAGCGGUGAAAUGCGUAGAGAUCGGAAGGAAUACCAGUGGCGAAGGCGGCCUUCUGGACUGACACUGACACUGAGGUGCGAAAGCGUGGGUAGCAAACAGGAUUAGAUACCCUAGUAGUC
rnacentral:rRNA from 1 species